AGUACGUCCAAGGCGUCGCAAUCCAAACAAUCAACGGAUGUUCCAACAAGGAACGGAUAUCAAUCCAGAUUGCAUAAGGAAGCAUCAAAUACAUAAUCUACUUGCUAUUACAAGCAUUCAUUUUACACCCACCUUUUACAUCACAGUUUCUGUUAACAUUUUACUUCCAAAUUACAAUCUCGUUAUUACAUCAGAGUUUACAAGUUUGAUACAUUUUCUUUUCUUGUCUUCUAGUCCCCUAAGCUAGACUGUCUCAGGGUACUGCUACCUCGGUCUCUGUGGUAGGGCGCUAUCUACGGAGCUACGCCCUCACCUCGCGCCGCCGCGCCGCACACGAACGACCUGAAAACCCCAAAACAACGUGGGGUGAGAACCAACUCCAUGGUUCCCAGUGGGUACGACCACCCAGGGGAAAAGCUCGACCGAUAGGUCCGAGGAGGCACUGGAACAUAUUAGUUCAACAAUAUACAACAG
rnacentral:lncRNA from 1 species